AGAGAUAAAUAAUUCAACAUCGAGGUCACAAUCUUUUUCUUCUAUGAGAACUUAAAGAAAAAAUUGUGCUGUUAUCCCUACGGUAGCUUGUUAAAUUCCCAGUUUGAGGAUAGAGUGGAGGUGAGAAAAAAGAUAUAGUUUUUUACCGCCCCAGUUCAACAAAAGUGAAGUUCGAUAGGGUCUUGUCGUCCUUCUCUUUUAUACAAGUUUUUUUACUUGAGUGAAAAGUUAAAAUAAUUUAGGUGAUAAAGAAAUUUAUAUGUCAAACCUUUCAUUCUAGCCUUCAAUUAAAAGGCAAAUGAUUAUGCUACCUUAGCACAAAAAUAUUGCGGCUAUUUAAGAAUUCAUUGAGCAGGUUCUACUGAAUAUGAAAUCAUUCAGAAAUGUUUUUGAUAAACAGACAAUAAAAUAAGGGCCGAGUUCAUAAACCUAAAGUUAGUCUGUUCCUUUGGCGGCGGGUUUAAGAUAUAGAGUAGUGGUUGAUAUUUUACUAAUAAAGUCAUUGUUGGGUGGGUUUAAAGGAGAAGGCUUCUUUUAAGAAAAUUUGUAGGAUGGUAAGAUAAAGUUUUUAAACUGAAAGACACUAUUAAUCCUUAACUUGAGAGAAUUUUAGAAGCGAAUAAUAAGAAAAAAAGAUUAUCCCUUUUAAAAUUUUAGUAUUAUUACUUUUAAAGAUAACCAGAUAUCAUAGAAUGCGAGUGGAAUUUCAUCUCUAUUUCCCCUUUGAAAAACUUUAUGAAACAAGAUUGGCAAGGGAAAAUAGAUCAUUUCAAUUUCGGGAAUAUUUAUUAAAAAGUUAUGGUUGAAUUUCCCUGAUACAAAAGGUACAUCAAUUUUCUAUUGAACAAUUUUAGGGUCCCUUUCGGUUAAGAAAUAAAAAAGUAAUAAGAAACAGUAUGGAAUAUUAUUUUAGACAAAAUUUUAAGUAGACGGGUCU
rnacentral:rRNA from 1 species